rnacentral:tRNA from 1 species
GGGCGGUUAGCUCAGCUGGUAGAGCGCUGCCCUUACAAGGCAGAUGCCACAAGUUCAAGUCUUGUACCGCCCACCA